rnacentral:snRNA from 11 species
AUCCUCGUGCAAGGGCUUUACACGUAUCAGUGAGGAGACAUCCGAGAUCGUGUUUUUGCUGGUUGAAAACUACCAACCUGACCACUUCAAGCGGGCCUCUGGGAACGCUUGGGAAUUUUUGAAACAAUACUGUCCCAUCUUAAGUCUUUUCACUACUUGUU